GACACGCUGGCGGCGUGCCUAACACAUGCAAGUCGAGCGGGGUUGAAGCGAGGGGUAACUCGAGUUUCUACCUAGCGGCGGACGGGUGAGUAACGCGUGGGCAACCUGCCUCAAGGACUGGGAUAACAGCUCGAAAGGGCUGCUAAUACCGGAUAAGCCUAUGGCCUCGCAUGGGGCCAUGAGCAAAGGGGAAACCCGCCUUGAGAUGGGCCCGCGUCCCAUCAGCUAGUUGGUGAGGUGAAGGCUCACCAAGGCGACGACGGGUAGCCGGCCUGAGAGGGUGACCGGCCACACUGGGACUGAGACACGGCCCAGACUCCUACGGGGGGCAGCAGUGGGGAAUCUUGCACAAUGGGCGAAAGCCUGAUGCAGCGACGCCGCGUGAGCGAAGAAGGCCUUCGGGUUGUAAAGCUCUGUCUGGAGGGACGAAGGAAGUGACGGUACCUCCGGAGGAAGCCACGGCUAACUACGUG
rnacentral:rRNA from 1 species